GAAGUGGCAUCUAUGCACCAGAUUUUCCAAGAACAUUUCAUUACGAUAUGAAGACCCAGGAGGGAAAACUCCUGUCCCAGCUGGAUUCCCAUCCAUACCGCCCCGUAGUGAAUUGGACUUCUUAUGCCAGCAGUAUAGAAGCCCUCUGGACAGGGAACCGGGAAUUUAAAGGAACUGUCUUUUUUGACGAAUACAUCUUUGUGGAGCUGAAAGGAAUCACAGGAAAUUACACAGUUUGCCAGAAAGAUCUUUGCUGUCAUCUAAGCUACCAGAUGUCUGAGAAGAGGUCAGAUGAAGUUUAUGCCUUAGGAGCAUUUGAUGGGCUGCAUACUGCUGAAGGACGCUAUCAUCUACAGAUUUGCACCCCGCUGAAGUGUAAAACCCCUGAUAUACAGAGCUGUGGUGGCUCAGUUGACACCGCUGCUACCAGGUUCGAGAUGUUCUCCCUCAGUGGUACUUAUGGGACCCAGUAUGUCUUUCCUGAGGUUUUGCUGAGCAAAGUUCAGCUUGCACCCAGAGAAUUUCAGCCAAACGCUUGCUUAGUAGGAACAUCCAGCUCGCCCGAGUGUCCAUGACUCCAACAGAGACUUCCGGGGGAGAACUGCUGAAGCCUUGAUAGUGAAACCACCAGAGCACUGGAUGUCCUUAGGAGUUAGGAACUGGAAAGUCACAGUGUUGAUAGUAAGUAUUAAAUGGAGCAUCACAUGUCCUUUUUCAGUAACAGCAGAAUCUCUCGGCGUUGUGCAGCUUAGUGAAAUAUCCUUGGCAUCAUACAUCCCUCAACUGAUACUACCCCCGUGGCACAGAUGUCUGUCACACCCUCUAUGCAACGUGCCUUUCUCCAAGAGCAGUAGGGUACUUCAGAGUGACCUGUAUCACCAGCCCACUGUUUGGCAAGACAUGCCUUUUGUGGCAGACACAGUUGUUGAUAAUGCUAUCUCAUCCAAAACAUAUUUAAGUAAAGGCCAUCUUGUGCUUUUGUGUGGCAUUAACUAAUUUUCUAAGAAAAUAAGAAAGGCCACUAGGUGUAUAGAAAAAGAGUUACUCAGGGCCAGGGAUUUAGCUCAGCAGUGCCGCAGCUGCCUGGCAAGUGCAAGGUCCUGAGUUCGAUUUCUGGUACUGGGAAAAGAAAAAAAAAGAGUUAAUCAGGGUAAGCCUUAGUAAUGUCAUCUAAUAUUAAUUAAAAACAGAAAACAUGCUGAUUGUCAAUGAUAGGCUUAAAAUAUUAAGAGCUUCAAAUAAUCAAGUGCUUCUUUUCUAUCCAACAUCAGCUGUAUUUGUCACCCACUGUGGCAAAAUAAAUUACUCUCACAUUGUUAUCUUAAAACAAUAACAGUAGGAUCUGGAAGGGGCUCAUCUGGGUUUCUCUGGCUCAGGGUGCCUUGGAAGCCACAGUUGAGCUGUGACCAGGGCUGCCGCCAUCUCGAGGUUCUGCUGGGGCUGGAGAAUCUGCUGUAACCUCACUCACAUGGUGAUGGUGGCCCCAGGUCCUUGCUGCAAGUUGGCCACUGGUCUCUCUUCCUUCCAUAUGGGCCUCCCUGUAAGUUGCUGGAAGGUUUUCACAGAACGGUAGCUGGCUUCUCCCAGAGUGGAGAGAGAGAGAGCAAGAAGGAGAGAGACUGGGUGGAAGUCACAGUGUUUUAUAACCCAAUCACAGACGUGACGUCGCUUCUGACCUUUGCCAGUGGUCACGCAGGCCAGCCAGGAAACAGUGUGAGAGAGAAUGAUGCAAAGGUGAGGAGGCUCAGGGAGGUGGAGUCCCUGUGGGCUGUCACACUGCCAGCUCCUACAGUGAAUGCGUGACUUUGUUUAUAUAUGUCUGUAUCUACUACAUAAUUUUAAAAGAUGCAGUUCUUUCCCUUUUCUUUUUGCUAUGCACUGUAUAUCUCAAAAUAUACUAACAUUUGUAUCCUAAAAGUACUAUGCCAAAGAACUUUCUGGGAUUACAUUAGAUAAUUAAAUUAGAUAAUUAACGAUCUGUACUUUUGACCCAUAGUAAAAUUUUAAGUUCCAGAAUCAAUUCAUAAAAUGUUAUCACUGGAGAAAAGGGCCCUAAAAACCUUAUCAUAUUUACUGUAUUGGCUGAGUUUUUUUUAAAGUAAGAUUUUCUCCAGAACAAUCUCUAAAAUAUAUAUUUUUAAAAAUUAAAAAAUGGCUCAAAUGAUUGCAGUGUUCUGGAUAUCAAAAAGAAUACUGAAAAAAUUCAAUUAAAAAAUCAUGUCAAUGCCAAGAGCUGCCCUAAAAUACCUCUCUUGGUGCUUAUAUGAAGACUCACAGCUCAUCCCUCACAUUGUAUCUGUUUCUCUAAUCUGUGGAUGUUCUGGGCAUUUUCCUUAUUCUCUGCCUCACUUUCAUGUGUGUUUCUGGAAAGACUGUGAAAUUCUUAGAUGAGGAAUAUAUCCUGCAUCUAUUACUAAUUCUGAGGCAGCACGCACUAGUAUAGCGUAGGAUUAUUGCUUGGAGUACUGAGAGUGCAGAAAUAAAUCUGUGUUUAAUAAUAUUCAUACCUGUAUGCAAGUGGUAUAAUUAAAGUGAAAUUGAGAAAAAUAGUAAGUAUAGGACAUGGUAACUCUAAAGAGUACUUACAUAUGAUGACAAAUAUCACUGGAACUUAAAAUACAAGGAAGGCAACCUAUAAAU
rnacentral:lncRNA from 1 species